rnacentral:rRNA from 1 species
GAUGAACGCUGGCGGCGUGCCUAAUACAUGCAAGUCGAGCGAACAGACGAGGAGCUUGCUCCUCUGACGUUAGCGGCGGACGGGUGAGUAACACGUGGAUAACCUACCUAUAAGACUGGGAUAACUUCGGGAAACCGGAGCUAAUACCGGAUAAUAUAUUUAACCGCAUGGUUCAAUAGUGAAAGACGGUUUUGCUGUCACUUAUAGAUGGAUCCGCGCCGCAUUAGCUAGUUGGUAAGGUAACGGCUUACCAAGGCAACGAUGCGUAGCCGACCUGAGAGGGUGAUCGGCCAAACUGGAACUAAGACACGGCCCAGACUCCUAGGGGAGGCAGCAUUAGGGAAUCUUCCGCAAGGGGCGAAAGCUUGACGGAGCAACGCCGCGUGAGUGAGGAAGGUCUUCGGAUCGUAAAACUCUGUUAUUAGGGAAGAACAAAUGUGUAAGUAACUAUGCACGUCUUGACGGUACCUAAUCAGAAAGCCACGGCUAACUACGUG